rnacentral:snRNA from 1 species
AAAAUAGUCAUAGACUCACGUUGU